UGUUAUCGUUCUAUAAAACGUUUCGGCUCAAGCAGCCGGCUGCCGACUGUUUUCUGUCACUAGGCGUUUCUGCUACGCCACGGCCGGCCCGCCAAGGCCUCGGGGGCUCUGCAGGCUCUGCAGUCUGCAGUGCCCCCCCCCCCCCUGUCACACCUUUCCCUGUUGUCUCUCUAGUCAUUCCCCCUUCCGCCCAGCGCAGGCGCACUUUGCGAUCCCAUUCGCUCGCGGGGGCAGCUUCGCGGCUUCGCUCGCCGAUUUGACUAGUCGACGGCCAUCCCCAUUGACCCCGGUCCUUGUUUCGUCGAGCGUCCGAACUUCCCUCCUCGUGACCUCUCUGGCGGUUCUGGCGGUCGACCCCUGAGCUCUCUCAGGCGGUUUCUCCAGGGACUGGAAAUUAUUGUGUGAAUUAUUCGCAACAGCAGCACCCAGUAUGCAGGCCAACUGGCUGAAUCGGCAUGAAGACUUUGGUGGACUGGGCAGGAGCCAGAAGAUAUAGUAGUUUGCAUACCUGUCGUGAUUUUACUGGACCGAGCACAGCUCCAAGAACUGAUUUAACAUCAGAUGAUGCUGAUUUGGAUGCAACAUCUGGAGGUUCUCGGCUUUCAACAUAAGGAAGAUUACUUUUCCUAAUGGGAACACCAAAUUCUAGAACCAAGGACAAACACAAAAAAAAAGUAAAAACAUCCAUUAAAACUUGAAUUAAUUAACCUAACUCAAAUGAAGGUGAACCCACCAGUAGCAACUGAUUGAAGAGAACUCAGUUCUGCUCUAUAUUUCAAGAAGAACUGAUGUUGGAGAGAAGCAAGACGGAAAGUGAAGUAACUCCUACACAAAGCACAAAUUACAGAGAUAGCAAGCCACACUGGUGCAUCUCUUCCAGACUUCUGGGCCUGCAUUUAAAAAAAAAUCAAUGAAAACCAUGUUAAACAUUUAUUGACAAUCAACUUAGGCUUAAUAAAAUUUUACUCACUGAGGUGGCAGAGUAAAAGUGUGUGCCAUACUCCGAAAAUUGUUGCGCAAGAGAAAUAAACAUUUCUUCAGCUCUGCCAGGGUCAAGACCAAUUCUUUCUUGAUGUGCUGCCUGCAACU